GCUCGAAUGGCGAAAUGGCAGACGCAGUUGACUCAAAAUCAACCGAGAAAUCAUGUGGGUUCGAGUCCCACUUCGAGCACCA
rnacentral:tRNA from 2 species